rnacentral:rRNA from 1 species
AGAACGUACGCUGGCGGCACGCCUAACACAUGCAAGUCGAACGCAGUAGCAAUACUGAGUGGCAGACGGGUGAGUAACAUGUGGGAAUCUGCCUUGUGGUUCAGGACAACAUUGGGAAACCGAUGCUAAUACUGGAUAAGCCCUUACGGGGAAAGUUUUAAUGCCAUAAGAUGAGCCCGCAUUUGAUUAGUUAGUUGGUGAGGUAAUGGCUCACCAAGACAAUGAUCAAUAGCUGAUCUGAGAGGAUGAUCAGCCACACUGGGACUGAGACACGGCCCAGACUCCUACGGGAGGCAGCAGUGGGGAAUCUUGCACAAUGGAGGAAACUCUGAUGCAGCGAUGCCGCGUGAGUGAAGAAGGCCUUUGGGUUGUAAAGCUCUUUUGUAGGGGAAGAUAAUGACUGUACCCUAAGAAUAAGGUCCGGCUAACUUCGUGCCAGCAGCCGCGGUAAUACGAAGGGACCUAGCGUAGUUCGGAAUUACUGGGCGUGAAGCGCGCGUAGGCCGUUGAGUUAGUUAAUUGUGAAAUCCCAAAGCUUAACUUUGGAACUGCAAUUAAAACUGCUCGACUAGAGUUUGAUAGAGGAAAGCGGAAUACAUAGUGUAGAGGUGAAAUUCGUAGAUAUUAUGUAGAACACCAGUUGCGAAGGCGGCUUUCUGGAUCAACACUGACGCUGANGCGCGAAAGUAUGGGUAGCAAAGAGGAUUAGAUACCCUCGUAGUCCAUACCAUAAACGAUGAUUGCUAGAUGUUGGAAAUUUAUUUUCAGUAUCGCAGCUNACGCAUUAAGCAAUCCGCCUGGGGAGUAC